UGGCUCAAACGGUAAAGCGUCUGCCUGCUGUGCAGGAGACCCGGGUUUGAUCCCUGG
rnacentral:tRNA from 1 species